rnacentral:rRNA from 1 species
GUGAACGAGCGACGCCGCGUGGAGGAUGAAGGCCUUCGGGUUGUAAACUCCUGUCGAGGGGGAACAAGGGGGCGCGAAGAGCGUCACUUGAGUGAACCCUGGAGGAAGCACGGGCUAAGUUCGUGCCAGCAGCCGCGGUAAGACGAACCGUGCGAACGUUAUUCGGAUUCACUGGGCUUAAAGCGCGUGUAGGCGGGCCGGCACGUCGGAUGCUGAAAGCCCCCGGCUCAACCGGGGAACGGGCACCGAUACGACCGGCCUGGAGGGGGGUAGGGGGAGCCGGAACUUCCGGUGGAGCGGUGAAAUGCGUUGAGAUCGGAAGGAACGCCCGUGGCGAAAGCGGGCUCCUGGACCCCACCUGACGCUGAGACGCGAAAGCCAGGGGAGCAAACGGGAUUAGAUACCCCGGUAGUCCUGGCCGUAAACCAU